GGUGGCUCAGUGGUAGAGUGCUUGCUUUGCAUGCAUGAGACCCUGGGUUCGAUUCCUUAGCACCA
rnacentral:tRNA from 1 species